UCCCAGAAGAAAGGCAUGAGGCGCAGCUCGCGAGGGAACCCCUGUGAUGGGACAACCCCGUUGGGCACAUGUGACUGUGGGGAUGGAGGAGGUUGGGGCAUGAAUGGGGAUGGCACUGGGGACCCUGAUUUGCAGGAAAGACAAUGAGCUCACCCCUUGGUGCCUUCUGUUGGGGGUGCUGUUGGCACAUCCUAGAGAGCAUGCCCAGCAGACAGAGGAACGGCUGUGGGAUGAGGAGAUGAACUCAGAGGUGCAGCGUGAGGCCUCUGGGUCCAGGCAGCAUGGGAGCCCAAAGCGAAGACCUAUGCAAUAAUAUUGUUUAAAAGGAGCUUAUAAAUAUUAAAAGUAGUCAUCCACGUGUGUUGCAGUAUAAAUCCUGUGUUCCCAAGGAUAUGCAGAUUGAGAAAGGAAGUGAUGUCACAGUGGGAACUUCCAUGUAAGGACAGGGACGUCCCUCCUUCUCUGCUCCUGCUCACAGUGACCCUGAUCUGGUAAAGCCCCCAUCCUGCCCUGACUGCCAUGGGCACCAGGCUCCUCUGUUGGGCAGCCCUCUGCCUCCUGAGAGCAGAUCACACAGGUGCUGGAGUCUCCCAGUCCCCCAGUAACAAGGUCACAGAGAAGGGAAAGGAUGUAGUUCUCAGGUGUGACCCAAUUUCAGGUCAUAAUGCCCUUUAUUGGUACCGACAGAGCCUGGGGAAGGGCCUGGAGUUUCUAAUUUACUUCCAAGGCAAGGAUGCACCAGACAAAUCAGGGCUGCCCAGUGAUCGGUUCUUUGCAGAGAGAGAUGGGGGAUCCUUCUCCACUCUGCAGAUCCGGCGCACAGAGCAGAAGGACUCGGCUGUGUAUCUCUGUGCCAGCAGCUUAGCCACAGUGUGGCAGAGUCACCUCCUUCCUGCUCACAAACCUCAUCCUUCUCUCCCCUUGCAGCUCCUAGAGACCUUUAUCAGAGGCCUCCCUUUGUUCCUCCCUCCUCAAAGGAAACAAGUAGAUUUGGACCUCGGCUGUCCUUUGGGUAGAAAGAAACCACAAAUUCACCCCGAGACACAGCAACUGUAAAUGUGGGUGGUGGAAGC